GGUGGCUUAGUGGUAGAGUGUUUGUCUCGAAAGCAUGAGGCUCUGGGUUCGAUUCCUUAGCACCA
rnacentral:tRNA from 1 species